rnacentral:rRNA from 1 species
UACGUAGGGGGCAAGCGUUGUCCGGAAUCAUUGGGCGUAAAGCGCGUGUAGGCGGUUCAGUAAGUCUGCUGUGAAAGUCCAGGGCUCAACCCUGGGAUGCCGGUGGAUACUGCUGGACUAGAGUGCGGAAGAGGCGAGUGGAAUUCCCCGGUGUAGCGGUGAAAUGCGCAGAUAUCGGGAGGAACACCAAUUGCGAAGGCAGCUCGCUGGGACGUUACUGACGCUGAGACGCGAAAGCGUGGGGAGCAAACAGG